AUUGAACGCUGGCGGCAGGCCUAACACAUGCAAGUCGAGCGGAUGACGGGAGCUUGCUCCUUGAUUCAGCGGCGGACGGGUGAGUAAUGCCUAGGAAUCUGCCUGGUAGUGGGGGACAACGUUUCGAAAGGAACGCUAAUACCGCAUACGUCCUACGGGAGAAAGCAGGGGACCUUCGGGCCUUGCGCUAUCAGAUGAGCCUAGGUCGGAUUAGCUAGUUGGUGGGGUAAUGGCUCACCAAGGCGACGAUCCGUAACUGGUCUGAGAGGAUGAUCAGCCACACUGGAACUGAGACACGGUCCAGACUCCUACGGGAGGCAGCAGUGGGGAAUAUUGGACAAUGGGCGAAAGCCUGAUCCAGCCAUGCCGCGUGUGUGAAGAAGGUCUUCGGAUUGUAAAGCACUUUAAGUUGGGAGGAAGGGCAGUAAGUUAAUACCUUGCUGUUUUGACGUUACCGACAGAAUAAGCACCGGCUAACUCUGUGCCAGCAGCCGCGGUAAAAC
rnacentral:rRNA from 1 species